rnacentral:rRNA from 1 species
UACGAAGGGUGCUAGCGUUGUUCGGAAUUACUGGGCGUAAAGCGCGCGUAGGCGGCUUAACAAGCCAGAGGUGAAAUCCCCAGGCUCAACCUGGGAAUUGCCUUUGAAACUGUUAAGCUUGAGUGUCGGAGGGGAUAGCGGAAUUCCUAAUGUAGAGGUGAAAUUCGUAGAUAUUAGGAGGAACACCGGUGGCGAAGGCGGCUAUCUGGACGACAACUGACGCUGAGGCGCGAAAGCGUGGGGAUCGAACAGG